GGGGGAGUAGGGUUUGAGGGGAGCAGGUGAACGGGGGAUGGGUUUAUGCUAUCUCUGCCUUGGUACACUUUGUUUUUUUUUUCGCCGCCUCUACCCCCACUGAAAUAUAUUUUUCCGUCUGCAUCAAAUGUCAAGUUAAUUUCCUGGGUGCUGUGAGGAUGUGUCCUCCCUCUCUUCGAUAUGUGUGGCAGGGCGCUGCAUGCGUGUGUGUGAGAGUUGGUGUGUGUGUGUGUGUGUGUGUGUGUGUGUGUGUGUGUGUGUGUGUGUGUGUGUGUGUGUGUGUGUGUGUGUGUGUGUGUGUGUGUGUGUGUCUCCCUGAGUAUGUGUUUAUAGGUGAAAGGAGGAAGGAAAUAAAGGGGCAUGGCAAUGGAAGGAAGAAAAGGAGAAAAAUAGUUGACGGGUGCAGGCGGGAUGCAGGGCCUGAGCCAGGAGUGAUGGCGCCAUAAUGACCAGAGACUCCAGAUGGAAUACACCAAGGAGACCGGGCUCGUCUCAGAGGAAACCAUCUUCCCCGCUGAAUCUAAACUCGGAUUCCAUCAAGGCUGAAGAUUUCAGCUGUCAUCUCCUCCAAGAGAUCACCACUGCUAUUGUCCGCUGGAUAUAUGCACCAUACUUUAUGUGUCUGAAGCAGGCCGAUGCCUUUCAUUAUUAUCUGCAAAUGCAUUAGAUAGCAGAAUAAAUGACUGGGACUCCAAGUUGAUGUAAUGUGUUAAAUGUGUAUGUGUUUGAUGGUCCUGUAAAAUUUCAACCGCCUUCAAGACAUAUUUUCUAUUUCAUACUGUGCGUUGACAACCUCAUGCUUUGAGUUUUUCAGAGUGCUGUUAACAAAAAAAUAAAGUAUAUUUUCCACGUA
ensembl:lncRNA